ACCCACUUCACCUUUUUCUCGCGCUUUCUCGUCCUUGUGUGUACCGGACGCCUUUACUCUUCCAGCACACCCACACCCCCAAACAUGCGCUUUCACUCGGCUAACCGAGUCCCCCCCCCCCCUCCCUACACGAAGAGACCAGGGAGAGAACGCACGCGAUCUCGUCGCCGGACGCCGGCGAGAUAGCGAGAACCUUCCUGUGCCGUCGUUUUUUCCGGCCCCGACCAAGCUAACCUUUCCACGCCGCCCAGCGCGCGCGUCCGUUAUCGAACAGAUGCAGGCCGUCCCUUUCCUCGCCAACGACGACGACGACGACAUCGCGAGAUUCGGGCCACGGAGGCGAGGAACACAGAGAAGCCUCGCCGGGACAGAGACAUCGAAGACGAUGGAUAGCCGCCGAGACAGGGAGGAGUAGACGUGCAGAGGCGGCUAGACCGGCGCACGGUGCGUCUCGUUCCAAGGUAUGACAAACAUCGAUUCUCGGAGUUCACUUUGAAAGGCGCGACGUACAACUACAGCAGCCACGGAAAGACACCGGAAAAGAACGUCUGUCGUCCUUGUCAGGUGAUUCAGGCCACGGUUGCUUGCCAGAACCGACUGCAAGCUCAGUUCGUGAGGGGACCGGGCCCUGCGAGGAGGAAGAGGAGCGGUGCGCCCGGGCUGCGAGCCGGGGCGGAGGAGAGGUGACCCCGAGCCGUGGCGUUGUCGUCGUCAGCCCGGGCCCGCCGCCGGUGCGAGAAAGAUAAUGUCAAGGUUCAGAGCGGCGUCCUGCUGUUCGGAGGCAGGGCGCACGCCAGAGCGCUCCACUACUCUUCCGGGUUGCCGGUGCUUGAAGACCCCAUCCAUCCCCUCGUCCACCUGCCCAGUCGAUAUGCCCUUUCUAACAAAAAAAAAAAAAAACGAAAAGUAAUCCUCGUGGUUAGAUUUAACCUGGCUUGCUUAGUGAACUCGACAGACCACUGCCUGCGCAGGGCGUGAUGGUCAAACUGCUCUAAAAACAGCUGCAUCAUGUGAGGGUGUCUUUGUGUCCCACAGAGUCAUCGCCACCUGGCUUGCGUGCGCAUCCUUGCUAUAACACCAUGCGUCCGGUGGUUCCAGGUACCGAACGUCAGUGAACUAUAACCGGAAAGCAAGCGCUGCCAUAACAUUCGUGACAGGAAAGUGACGAGCGCCGAGUUUUAAACCGAGAAAGCGCAAGUAAGCAAGGUGAUCACUAUUAUUUUGUGGCAGAGAAAAGAGCGUUACUGUAGACUGUAUGGCGUUGCGCUGCCGGACUUGAAAGAGCGGGUUCGACCUCCAGCAACGAAGCGGCCGCAUUUCGAUUGGGCGAGUGAAAUGCAAGAACGCCUCGUGUGUACUUGUAAGUCCUCCACUGUACGAUGGACCUCAUGAGCUUAUUUCGGUUUUGCCACUUAAGACCCCACAAUUAAGUAAGCAAGCUGCUUGCUUGUUAGAAACUUACCAUAAAAUAGUCGGUGACAACCUAAUAAUAAAUACAAGCUACGCGCAUAUAUAUAUAUAUAUAUAUAUAUAUAUUGUAAUGAACUCAGACAUGGAGACAGCACCCGUUCCUGGGCCAGCUGUUCUAUUCUCUGACAUCUUCUUCCUCCGCCUCUACCCGCUAGCUGUCCACGCGCGUCAGAGCCCCGGUGUCGAUCUUCGUCCUCACACUCGGCCAUGACUGCAAGCGCGCGGAACUGCCGAAAGUGUCUCUGGUGGGCGGCUUUGGCUGCAUCGCGGUGGCCGGUCUCGGCCACGCUUUGACUUGGCUGGUGCAUCUGCCUUCUUGGCUCGUGGGUCUGGUGGGCGACCCUGGCUAAAUCGCAAAAAACAUGCUUCCGGCGGCCGGCUUUGUCUCGGAGGUAACGGCGGAUGUGGCAUGCCCGGGGACGGAUGCCGAAACAGCAUCCGAGGCGGCACCGUAGCUGGCAAGGUGUCUCGGCGUUUCUUUUCGGUUAAAACCCCAUGCUUGUAAACACCGGGAAGAAGGUCAGGACAUUCGUCAGGAACCUUCUGCGGUUUUGUGGGAAUUGAAAUAUUCCCUUCUACUGCCGAAUCCUCCACGCUGUCAAGGGGGCGCUCGCUCUCCUCCUUUCCAUUGACGCCCGAUGUCUCUGGAGGCGGUCUAGGUGACUCUUCGGGAGCCGUGGUUGUGAAGUCCAGCGCACGUUUCUUCAUGACUGAUAUUCCGUCAGCAGGCAGUGGGAAUAGCGACGGGGAAACUUUCAUGCGCUCGUCCCGGGAAACCUUCUCGCUGAAUGCCUGCGUGUUGGACACAUUACACUCCAUCGCGUCAAACCGUUGAUGGUCUGUAUAGUCAGGUACUGCGAGCCUUUUCCUUUCAGAACGGCUGCUCUCACCAUUCCACACAGGCAUGUCCUGGAAUCUUCCAGAUGGGUGCAUCGGGUAAACGUGGUCGCCACUACAUUCUUGGUCUCAUUGAAAGCAAGGUGGCCAUCUGCGCAUUCGGGCAAUGAAUGCGCUUGAAGUUGCGGAUGAGUUAGCUCAGAUGGCUCUUCGCACACAUUAGUAAUGGUCUUGGAUUCGUCCGGCUUCUGGACAACCAGCGUGCCGAGUCCAAGAGGAGCCGUCACGUCCGGGUCAUUAAGGGAAGAUGAGUUUGGGGCACGCGUUACCAAGUGCUGUGUAGAGAGUGUUGUCUCGACUUGUCGUGGUGGUAAGCUCCACUGUACAGUAGCAGCCUCGAGGUGGUGCCCCUUCAGAGCUCCAUCCUCGGUAGCGGUGAGGUUGGACUGGGUGGUGGUAGCGAGGUGGUAGUCGAUCGGCCCAAAGGCAGCUAUGAGCCUGGUGCUCCACUCGUCCCAGGAUUGCUGCUUCACGCCUUCGUACUUGUGCCACGCCGCGGCACCUUCUCGAAGGCGGUCUACCGCCAUGGACCAUUUCUGUGCCUCCGUCCAGGCUUCGCGAGCUCCUAGGGCGUUGACGGUCGCCACCCAUUUUUCGGCGUCGUCCUGGAAGCCGCGGAACUCUGGUAGUACGAAGGUAGUCUGGGAUAGUGAUACGGCAGGCGCGAAACGGUAGAUUGUGUACGCGAAGUCACCAAGUUGAAUAGAUACCUGGCUGAGGGUAGACUGGAGCUCUCUACGUUGCUCAGGCGAGUUGGCCUCGAGGUCUAGCGAGGUGGCUACGUCCAACAUGGUGUUGAUGGCUGUCAGUGCGGGAAUUAUUGGAGGAAACAGCGCAGAGCUCGACGCUGUCAAGGCGUUGGCCGUGACGCGAAGUCGCGCAACGGUACGCCGCAGGUGUGCGGCGCUCUCCGAUGGUUCGGCUCCGAUCCUGUCGGCUGCGCCAUUGUAAUGAACUCAGACAUAGAGACAGCACCCGUUCCUGGGCCAGCUGUUCUAUUCUCUGACAUCUUCUUCCUCUGCCUCUACCCGCUAGCUGUCCACGCGCGCCAGAGCCCCGGUGUCGAUCUUCGUCCUCACACUAUAUAUAUAUAUAUAUAUAUAUAGAACAUCGGCAUGUGCGUGUGCCAUUCAUCUGUGCAAGAUAGUCGCGCUGGGUUCUUUCGGCUCUAAGAGAAAGUACUUUUUCGAUGCUAAUCUAUGUAAUACGCAUAUUAAGAAUCAAAGUUCGUCGCCCCUACUUAAAAUAAUACUUUUGGGUGAGAGAUGAUGUGAGGGUUUUUGCUGAAAUUCGGCAAGAAGUUCAUGUUUUCGACUGAAAAUUAGCUAUACGAACAUGGCUCUGUAUGGGAAAAUCACCUGUAUGGAAAAUCACCGCGAUCGACGAACACGGAGGAGAAAACACUAUACUGUGAGGGCAGUCAAUGACUCUUCCUUGCCAUAUCAUCAUCAUUUGUAAACCUUCCUCAUCUGUAUAUAUUAUAUCAGUGUGUGACAGUUCGAGCUCGACUCCAAUAAAGUGGUUCCUCAUAAUACUCUUAAAACACAUGAUUUGCUUAUUUGAAAACUAACAAAGCAACACAGAACCAGCAAUAGCACAACCUGACAAGAGACAAAGAGUAUUUGAUGUAGCAGCGCACCAAAGGCACGCUCACGUACACACAGAGAAGAUACUAACACAAGCGCAGGAGCAUGGCUCACCAACUAGACCAUCAGUAUAUACUAAGACACAAGCAUAGCGAUGAAGACUAAACCGCCUCACAAGAAAAACCCUCAUUAAACCGACAUAUAUACACGCAACAUCAAGGUUAUACAGGCUGCUGUCUAUAUGCUGCUCGUCCUGUGUGUUUCUGCUCCGUCGUUCGCGCUGCCCGUUGCCUAGAUUCGUAUCCAGCUCGCCUAAUUUUUGGUCUCCUUUAUUAAUAACGAGCACUAGGGAAUAUGUACUUCGCGUCGUAAGCUGCAUGCUUCUCUGCAUACUCGCGAUGUAUCUCAUUCAUCGAGAAUUUAGGGGAAAUUAACAGGAUGUCCAGUUCAAUUGUAGAGACAAUUAGCUAGAGGGAAGUUAUACUGGACGAAAGAAAAGCAAAACUUACCCAAUUGACCCACCUAACGUUUGUUGGAAGCCGAGCCCACAAAACAACUCCCACAUUACCCGUGCCUUGCAU